rnacentral:rRNA from 2 species
UGUACAAGUUCAUGCCCCUUGAAACUGGGCGAAACCGCGAAUGGCUCAUUAAAACAGUCAUAAUCUAUUUGAUGUUUAAAGUUAUAUGGAUAACUGUGGUAAUUCUAGAGCUAAUACAUGCACAAAAUAGGUGACUGUUGGGUAACCUGCAGAAGCCUGGCGUUUAUUAGACUAAGACCAAUGGUUGCGGGCAACCGCAAUCCAACUUAUGGUGACUCUGAAUAAAUAAUGGGUGAAAGCCCAUGAUGCUGACCCUCUUCAAAGGCCUACUCACGUAGGUUGAGGGCAAAUCAUUCGAGUGUCUGCUCUAUCAACUGUGGAUGGUAGGGUACAUGCCUACCAUGGUGGUAACGGGUAACGGGGAGUUAGGGCUCGACUCCGGAGAACAAGCCUGAGAAACGGCUAGUAGGACUAAGGUCUGCAGCAGGCGCGAAACUUACACAAUGGGAGCACAUCCCUGAUGUAGUGAAGGAAAAUAACGAUGUAUCUCUCAUUGCUGAGUGAUACAAUUGGAAUGAGACGACCGUAAAUACGUUAGUCGAGUAACAAAUGGAGGGCAAGUCUGGUGCCAGCAGCCGCGGUAAUUCCAGCUCCAUUAGCGUAUAUUAAAGUUGUUGCGGUUAAAAAGCUCGUAGUUGAAAUUAGCUUGGCUCUACGCCACUCGCUUCCAAUUAAAGGCCACCGUUUCUUUAAAGCGGCGUUCAACUUAACCGUUGCGUCGCCUGAGCGGUUGUGCCUGGUUGCGUUAGUGGACGUAAGGCCAAUGUUUCGUCACUGCAUUUGGGUGCGAAGCGGGGCGUUGUAUCGUUCACCGGCUAUUUACUUAGUCGAGCUGCAGCGUCAAGUUUACCUUGAGAAAAUUAGAGUGCUCACAGCAGGCAGUUGGGGUCGAAAGGCUCUUUUCUUGCUUGAAUAAUGUUGCAUGGAAUAAUAGAAUACGGCCUCGGUUCUAUUCUGUUGGUCUUAUAGAACAACAAAAAAGUUGGUACUUGCACUAACGCUAUAUCGUGUACUGGUUCUGCCAUGAUGAGCUGGUUUGUGUUUAUGUUGCCUGGAUGGUAAAAAGUUCAGCGCCUUGACGCAGCCGUGUUUUGUCUGGUGUUCCAUUUAAAGGUGCGCGGUAUUAGCAAGCAACCGCCAACUGAGGCAAUGGUUAAAAGAAAUAGUCGCGGCGGCAUCAGUACUGCAUCGCUAGAGGUGAAAUUCUUAGACCGAUGCAAGACUAACUGAAGCGAAAGCGUUUGCCGAGGAUGUUUUCAUUAAUCAAGAACGAAAGUUAGAGGUUCGAAGGCGAUCAGAUACCGCCCUAGUUCUAACCAUAAACGUUGCCAACUAGCAAUUGGCCUGAAUUCUAUUUUAACAAAUUGAAUGAUUCGGCCAGCGGCUCUAGGGAAACCAAAGUCUUUGGGUUCCGGGGGAAGUAUGAUUGCAAAGUUGAAACUUAAAGGAAUUGACGGAAGGGCACCACCAGGAGUGGAGCCUGCGGCUUAAUUUGACUCAACACGGGGAAACUUACUAGAUUAGAACACAGGAAUGAUUGACAGAUUGAAAGCUCUUUCUUGAUUCUGUGAGUGGUGGUGCAUGGCCGUUCUUGAUUCGUAGAUUGAUUCGUCUGCUUAAUUGCGAUAACGAGUGAGACCUCACUUUACUAACUAGUCGCUUAGUGCAUCUUUGACGCAAAAGUCUGGCUUAUAGAGUAUUGCGUUGGUGGCAACACUGGCGUGUGCUUUGUUUGUUCAGAUGUCUUUGACUCGCUAGCGGACUUCUUAGAAAGAUAAACGGUGUUUUAGCCGUAAGAAACGAGGCAAUAACAGGUCUGUGAUGCCCUUAGAUACUCUAGGCCGCACGCGUGCUACAAUGGUGUGCGCAGAAAGCUUAUUCGAAAUCCGGCCAAAGAGAACUGCUAGUUUUGGGUAAUGUUUGGGGGCAACUCUAGGCGUUAUUCGGAUUGGUAAGUGACUAUGGUUUACGGGUUGAGAGAAACCUUGGCUGAAAAGUCAGGGCAAUCAAAAAUUCACGCCGUGAUUUGGGAUUGGGGAUUGCAAUUGUUGUCCAUGAACGAGGAAUUCCCAGUAAGCGCAAUUCAUCAUAUUGCGCUGAUUACGUCCCUGCCCUUUGUACACACCGCCCGUCGCUACUACCGAUUGGAAGUUUUAGUGAGGCAUUUGGACCUGCCGCGCGCUGGCAAUUUCGGUUGUCGUACGCAGCGGGGAAGUCUGUCGAACUCAAAUUUCUAGAGGAAGUAAAAGUCGUAACAAGGUUUCCGU